rnacentral:misc_RNA from 1 species
UGAAGAUCCUGACCAGUCUGAAGAUUCUCUGGUUGAUUUGCUUCAAAGUUUAGCAGAUAUGGAUAUAACCUUCAAGGCACUCAAGGAGACUGAUAUUGGAAGACAUGUCAAUCGUUUGCGAAAGCAUUCAUCCAAUGAUGUUCGAAGAUUAGUUAAACAACUUGUCAGGAAAUGGAAGGAAAUUGUAGAUGAAUGGGUGAGGUUAAAUCCACAAGGAGAGCAUGCAUCCUCUGCUCUAAUGGCUGAUGGGGACUCCCCACAGCAGAAAAUUCCCCAGAACUCUCUUCACCAGGUUCCUGAUUUUGCAUACUCUCCCAAUCCUCAUAAUGGAAGUUCUGGUUCAGACAAGAAUAAUUCAGAAUCAGAACGAAAGCCAAAACUGGUUCCUCGAAAAGAAGCUCCACCCAGACCUACCCAACAAUCUGUUCCUGUAUCUGCAUCUGCUUCUCACAAUGUACAGAGACAGAGAGAGCAGCAACAAAGAGAGAGAGAUUUUGAUUCUGAGAGGCUUGCUUCCGCGAGGAAGAGGCUUCAAGAGAAUUACAAAGAAGCCUUAAAUGCCAAGAAGCAAAGAA